GUACUCGCUUUAGCAGCACAUAUACUAAAAUUGGAGCGAUACAGAGAUUAGCAUGGACUCUGUGCAAGGAUGAUAUGCAAAUUUGUGAAGAGUUCCAUAUUAAA